rnacentral:piRNA from 1 species
UAGACCUAGAACCUUCUGCUUCCGUCUCAUU